CACUACGGCCAUGCCACCCUGAACAUGCCUGAUCUCAUCUGAUCUCAGAAGCUAAGCAGGGUCAGGUUAAUAUUUGGAUGGGAGACCACCUAAGAACACCAGGGUCAGGUUAAUAUUUGGAUAGGAGACCACCUAGGAACACCAGGUGCUGUAGGCG
rnacentral:rRNA from 1 species